rnacentral:tRNA from 1 species
GGGCACAUGGUGUAGUUGGUUAUCACGCUCGCUUAGCAUCAAUUGGAUGACUUUGCGAGAGGUGUUGGGUUCAAUUCCCAAUGCGUCCA